UCUCUAAAACCAAACUCUCUACCUUCUCUCUAAAAGCUUCCACCCUCUCUAAACAACUUCCCUUUUCACCGGCCACCACCCAAAAUCGGCAACGCUGCUGGUUACCCGACCAACCCUCUCUCUCGCCUUUAACUGGUAGUCGUCGAUUGGUCUUUCUCCCUUUCUCUCUCUUCUAAACCGGCAGCAAACAACCCUUAAACUUUUCCCUUCCAAGCUUCAACCGAUAAACCCAAAAAAUCAAGAUAUAAUCCUAGAAACCCAAACCCAAAAAAAAAAAUCCCCCUCACUCAUUUCUCUCAUUUUCGUUUCUUUUUUUUUGCAUUUUUUUUAUUGUGGAUUGUGGUUCUUGGCUGUUAAAUGUUUAAGAUUUUUUUUUAUUUUUUUUGUUUUUGGAAUAUUGUUUUCCCUCUUUUUGGAAGAUUGGCUUUUUUGGAUCUUUUUUUAUCUUUGAAAGAGCCAAUUUUUUUCUAAGAAAAUAUAAAUUGUUUCCAUUGUGGAAGGAAAGUUCAUAUGAUUUGUGAGUGCAGGUAAAAAAAAGCAGGAAAGACUUUUGGUUUGAAAUUCC
rnacentral:lncRNA from 1 species